rnacentral:rRNA from 1 species
GAUGAACGCUGGCGGCGUGCCUAAUACAUGCAAGUCGAGCGAACAGACGAGGAGCUUGCUCCUCUGACGUUAGCGGCGGACGGGUGAGUAACACGUGGAUAACCUACCUAUAAGACUGGUAUAACUUCGGGAAACCGGAGCUAAUACCGGAUAAUAUAUUGAACCGCAUGGUUCAAUAGUUAAAUACGGUUUUGCUUUCACUUAUAGAUUGAUCCGCGCCGCAUUAGCUAGUUGGUAAGGUAACGGCUUACCAAGGCAACGAUGCGUAGCCGACCUGAGAGGGUGAUCGGCCACACUGGAACUGAGACACGGUCCAGACUCCUACGGGAGGCAGCAGUAGGGAAUCUUCCGCAAUGGGCGAAAGCUUGACGGAGCAACGCCGCGUGAGUGAUGAAGGUCUGCGGAUCGUAAAACUCUGUUAUUAGGGAAGAACAAAUGUGUAAGUAACUAUGCACGUCUUGACGGUACCUAAUAAGAAAGCCACGGCUAACUACGUG